rnacentral:rRNA from 1 species
AGGGAGCCUGAGAAACGGCUACCGCAUCCAAGGAAG